UACGAAGGGUGCAAGCGUUACUCGGAAUUACUGGGCGUAAAGCGUGCGUAGGUGGUUCGUUAAGUCUGAUGUGAAAGCCCUGGGCUCAACCUGGGAAUUGCAUUGGAUACUGGCGGGCUAGAGUACGGUAGAGGGUGGCGGAAUUCCUGGUGUAGCAGUGAAAUGCGUAGAUAUCUGGAGGAACACCGGUGGCGAAGGCGGCAUCCUGGACCGGCAUUGACGCUGAGGCGCGAAAGCCAGGGGAGCAAACGGG
rnacentral:rRNA from 1 species